rnacentral:rRNA from 1 species
GCUUUACUGUAGCCUGGAAUUGGGAUCGGGCUUACUUUGCGCAGUAUAAGUGGGAGGCUAAGAUUAUAUAUUUGUGGAUGUAUAUGAGCUGUCAGUGAGAUACCACUCUGAGUAAGCUAGAUUUCUAACUUUGACUGCCGUUAUCCGGCCAAGGAACAGUUUCAGGUGGGCAGUUUGACUGGGGCGGUCGCCUCCUAAAAGGUAACGGAGGCGUACAAAGGUUCCCUCAGGCUGGUCGGAAAUCAGUUGUAGAGUAUAAAGGCAUAAGGGAGCUUGACUGCAAGACUUACAAGUCAAGCAGAGACGAAAGUCGGUCUUAGUGAUCCGACAGUUCCGAAUGGAAGGGCUGUCGCUCAACGGAUAAAAGUUA